rnacentral:lncRNA from 1 species
AUGUCUACGGGCUCUCAGACAAGGUCCAGGCCACUGAUGGUGCAACAGCCCCGUGAGGCCUCCAGCCGGGAGCGGACAGGGCUGCGGGUCCCAGGACUUGGUGCAGAGCCCGCUCUGGACAUCUGGAGUGCCCAGGAGGGCCUCUUAGCAACCCCGCGAGAUGGACGAGGCGCCCGAGCACAGCUCAACGACGGAGGUGAAGUCCUGGCGCGGGGCCCAGCGGUCUCAGGGCCUUCGGAAGCGUGUGGUUGUUGUUCCAGCGGUGGGCCGGUUCCAAGGCGGCCCGAUCCGAGCUCUUCCUUAGGCGCAGCGCGGGUUGGGGCGCAGGUCCCCGCCGAGCGCGCCCUCUGCACUGAAGCGACCCUGCGGAGCGCGAUGAAGCUCGCCCGGCCCCAGCCUGCCGGUCGGAAAAGCGAGCCAGUUCAUGCCUGGAAAAAGCAAUGUGGCUCAGGCACUGUGAUGACGCCCGCCCGCCAUUCCAGCACUGCGGAGGCUGAGGCAGCAGGAUGGAAUAUUCGUGCCCAGCCUGGGCGACUUAGCGAGACCCCAUCUCAAAAUAAAAUAUGAAAAAGGGCUGGGAUGCAGCUCAGUGCAAAGGCCCUGGGUUCAAUCCCCAGUAUGCCCCCACCUCCCAUGUUACCAAAAUUAUUGAUCCCCUCUGCGUAUUUUCUAAUUCAUGUUAUUUCAGUAUGUUGUUGGUAAUGCAAACACUACUGUUUUUAAAUUAAAGUUGCGUUGUAGAGGUACAAGGUCCCAACAAUGAAUGUAACUGUACUGUAUCCCUAAAAUGUACCAACAAACUCAAUUAAAGCUGAAAAAAAAAAAUUAAAGUUGCGUGACCGGGGAUUUAGCUCAGUUGCAAAGUCCUCAGUCGAUCCCCCGUACCAGAAAAUAAAGAAAGAAAUAAAGAAUUGCUGCGUAACAAUAGCGAAAGUGGAAGUGUCCAGCAGCACGACAGCAGUUUCAACCCUUGGUCUCCACCAGUGCCAUGGGUCCUGGUUUUCCCAGUUCGGACAGCAGCAUUACUCCCAGCAGCAAAAAGGUGGGAACGACUCACUUGUCUCCCAGCAGAG